GAUGUAUUUCAAGCUUCUGUCCAGAAGCUUGGAAGAAAAAGUGGACUUCAAUUUGUUGGAAUGGAGAAAGGAGUGGAUAGCAUAUUCAAAUAAGUGGCAAGAAAGUAAAGAGCUUUACCCUGUGAAGGCUAAAGGAGACGCCCUUGCUAUUGCUACCGUUCUAUAUGAAAAAUAUUUCAGUUGAGAUGAGAUUUAUCCAUUUCUGGAGUCAAACAUGAACAGAAAUGGAAAACUUUUUCAUGAUUGUACAAUAAUAAAGUUGGUUUUAUUUUUGUUUCAUCUCUCAGUGGAUGGUGUGUUUGAUAGAAUGUGUUGUUGGCUGUGACAAAAGUUGAUUAAUCUGGUUGUAAUC
rnacentral:misc_RNA from 1 species